GUUCAACCCCCUCCUCUACUA
rnacentral:tRNA from 54 species